rnacentral:rRNA from 1 species
AUUGAACGCUGGCGGCAUGCCUUACACAUGCAAGUCGAACGGUAGCAGGUCUUCGGAUGCUGACGAGUGGCGAACGGGUGAGUAAUACAUCGGAACGUGCCCGAUCGUGGGGGAUAACGAAGCGAAAGCUUUGCUAAUACCGCAUAAGAUCUAAGGAUGAAAGCAGGGGACCGCAAGGCCUUGCGCGAACGGAGCGGCCGAUGGCAGAUUAGGUAGUUGGUGGGAUAAAAGCUUACCAAGCCGACGAUCUGUAGCUGGUCUGAGAGGACGACCAGCCACACUGGGACUGAGACACGGCCCAGACUCCUACGGGGGGCAGCAGUGGGGAAUUUUGGACAAUGGGCGAAAGCCUGAUCCAGCCAUGCCGCGUGCAGGAUGAAGGCCUUCGGGUUGUAAACUGCUUUUGUACGGAACGAAACGACUCUUUCUAAUAAAGAGGGUCCAUGACGGUACCGUAAGAAUAAGCACCGGCUAACUACGUGCCAGCAGCCGCAGUAAGAC